AUGAUGCAACCCAUUCUGUUUCUCCUGCUGGUCUGGACAACGGUAGAUGGCGCUAGUUACCAUCGCGCCAAUGCGGCAUCAGGUCGGUCCUCUAUGGAGCUACCACUCUCCCCGCUGACCGACAACCAGCGCCUCUGGCGGCUGCCCGAGGAAGCUAGCCGACCGGCCGCGGCGCCCCAGGGCCUAUUGCGCCCCUGGUGGGUAGGCCGGCCCGCCACACUAGGCCGCGGCGAACAGGCGUGGGGGUCGCAAGACAGCACAGGAGGGUCUGAUGCUAUCUCCGCGAGGUCAACCCGAAACCAACAACAUUACGCCAAGCGUGGAAUGAACGUGCGCAUGUGUGGAGCGCAGUUGACCGACUUCAUCGAGAGCCUCUGCCACGAUCGUCGCAGGCGGAGCGGCAGCGCAGUCACCGUGCGGCAAAUCUCCUCUGCUAUGAGCCGUGAAAGCAUCGUAGAGGCCUGCUGCCACAGACCGUGUUCGAUUCGGGAGCUAUACGAGUUCGUCCAGCCAACAUGUGGCGUUAUGCAUAACAGCUCUCCUCAAAUCGCAUAUACCAGGGUCUCGGCACCAGCGGGUGGUCAGCCGACAUCCCCUGUCACUGAGAGCCACAGAGUUGUGACCAUG
rnacentral:misc_RNA from 1 species